AACGAACGUUAGCGGCGCGCUUAACACAUGCAAGUCGAACGAGAAAGGGCUUCGGCCCCGGUACAGUGGCGCACGGGUGAGUAACACGUGGGUAAUCUACCCUCGAGCGGGGGAUAACGUUCCGAAAGGAGCGCUAAUACCGCAUAAGACCACGCUCUCGAAAGGGAGCGAGGUAAAAAGUAGGCCUCUGAAUUCACGCUUACACUCGAGGAUGAGCCCGCGGCCCAUCAUGGUAGUUGGUAGGGUAAUGGCCUACCAAGCCGAAGACGGGUAGCUGGUCUUAGAGGAUGAUCAGCCACACUGGAACUGAGACACGGUCCAGACUCCUACGGGAGGCAGCAGUGGGGAAUCUUGCGCAAUGGGCGAAAGCCUGACGCAGCGACGCCGCGUGGGUGAUGAAGGCC
rnacentral:rRNA from 1 species